rnacentral:rRNA from 1 species
AGUGAACGCUGGCGGUAGGCCUAACACAUGCAAGUCGAACGGCAGCACAGUAAGAGCUUGCUCUUACGGGUGGCGAGUGGCGGACGGGUGAGGAAUACAUCGGAAUCUACUUUUUCGUGGGGGAUAACGUAGGGAAACUUACGCUAAUACCGCAUACGACCUACGGGUGAAAGCAGGGGAUCUUCGGACCUUGCGCGAUUGAAUGAGCCGAUGUCGGAUUAGCUAGUUGGCGGGGUAAAGGCCCACCAAGGCGACGAUCCGUAGCUGGUCUGAGAGGAUGAUCAGCCACACCGGAACUGAGACACGAUCCAGACUCCUACGGGAGGCAGCAGUGGGGAAUAUUGGACGAUGGGCGCAAGCCUGAUCCAGCGAUACCGCGUGGGUGAAGAAGGCCUUCGGGUUGUAAAGCCCCUUUGUUGGGAAAGAAAAGCAGCAGGUUAAUACCACGCUGUUCUGACGGUACCCAAAGAAUAAGCACCGGCUAACUUCGUG